UCAAUAGCUUCAGUCUCAUAUAAAUAUUCAAAAGUUCCACACUUAAAUUUAUAUUGCAUUAAAUUUUGCAGAAUGUUCAUCGGUCCGGUCCAGAAAGAACAUCUGCACAACAUGAUCCUCGGUUGUGGCUGGCCAUGUGGGUCGUUGAGCGGUCCCAGCUGCUGUAACAGCUGUUGUGGAGGAUGCUGUGGAGGCUGCUGUGGGGGAUGUUGCGGUGGCUGUUAAAAUAAAGAAAGUGGAGACUGGACCAGGAUCAA